rnacentral:rRNA from 1 species
CACGUAGGGGGCGAGCGUUGUCCGGAUUUAUUGGGCGUAAAGAGCUCGUAGGCGGCUCGGUAAGUGAGGUGUGAAAACUCCGGGCUCAACCUGGAGACGCCACCUCAUACUGCUGUGGCUAGAGUCCGGUAGGGGAGCAUGGAAUUCCUGGUGUAGCGGUGAAAUGCGCAGAUAUCAGGAGGAACACCAGUGGCGAAGGCGGUGCCUCUGGGCCGGAACUGACGCUGAGGAGCGAAAGCGUGGGAGCAACAGG